GACGAACGCUGGCGGCGUGCUUAACACAUGCAAGUCGAACGGAAAGGCCCUGCUUUUGUGGGGUGCUCGAGUGGCGAACGGGUGAGUAACACGUGAGUAACCUGCCCUUGACUUUGGGAUAACUUCAGGAAACUGGGGCUAAUACCGGAUAGGAGCUCCUGCUGCAUGGUGGGGGGUGGAAAGUUUCGGCGGUUGGGGAUGGACUCGCGGCUUAUCAGCUUGUUGGUGGGGUAGUGGCUUACCAAGGCUUUGACGGGUAGCCGGCCUGAGAGGGUGACCGGCCACAUUGGGACUGAGAUACGGCCCAGACUCCUACGGGAGGCAGCAGUGGGGAAUAUUGCACAAUGGGCGGAAGCCUGAUGCAGCAACGCCGCGUGCGGGAUGACUGCCUUCGGGUUGUAAACCGCUUUCGCCUGUGACGAAGCGUGAGUGACGGUAAUGGGUAAAGAAGCACCGGCUAACUACGUG
rnacentral:rRNA from 1 species